UCUUCUCCAUCAGCCUGGUUUUGCCGCCCCCUCUGUUGCCAAAGUUUUCUGCCAGUUGAUUUCUGAAGCUGUCCCAGUGGCCUUCCCUAGCUGUUCCUGUUUAUUGUGUUCCUGCUGUGGUAUCACUUUUGCACUUCACUACCCUCUUGUAUCAGUCUGUUGUCAAUAAACCUUUGUUCUCACACUGCAAUUGGGUCCUCCUUCCUAGAUCCCCGACAAACUGUACAGAGAUAAACUGAGUCAUGUUCGACUACGCCGUGCAAACGUUGUUCUCAAGACGUAUACAGGAAAGGCAGCUCCUCUAUUGGGACGAGAAUGGCUCCGUAGAAUUCGUCUUGACUGGAGGGAGAUCAAAACUGUAAGAACAGUACACUAUACUAAUGAAGGGACACUGAACAGUCUUCUAAAGAAGUAUGACAAAGUAUUCAGAGAAGAUCUAGGGACAUUCAAUGGGUAUACAGCCACCUUAAAUUUGAAACCGGGAACUCAACCAAGAUUUUUCCAAGCACGAGUGGUACCGUAUGCCAUCAGACCCAAGGUGGAGGAAGAAAUUGAUCGCCUGGUGCAGCAAGGUAUCAUCACACCUGUGCGAUUCAGUGAAUGGGCAACCCCGAUCGUACCUGUAAUCAAAAAGGGUGGAAAUGUCAGGAUCUGCAGUGACUUUAAAAUAACAGUGAAGUAAGGAAGUUUCAUACUUAUCUAUAUGGACGUCACUUCACAUUACUAAUAGACCAUCGUCCACUUACCACCAUACUCCAUCCUAACAAAGCAACUCCAUCCAUGGCUGCGACAAGACCUAGAGGUGGGCCCUCCUGCUGGCUGCACAUAAUUACACAAUUCAGUAUAGAAGUGCUAACGACCAUGGAAAUGCUAAAGGGUUAUCUCGAUUGCCACUGACUGCACAGCAUAAGGACAGGGAAGAUGCAGUGGAGAAUGGAAAGCUGGUACUGUUUCUUCACAGUCAGGACCAGUGUCAUACACGGUUCAAGUAGACAAUGCACAAAGCUGGAAAAGACAUGCAGAUCAAAUGUUACACUGUCAUCCAGAAAUCACAAAAACCUCAGAAUCACUACCAGCAGAAAAUAAGAUGUCACAGACACUAAGGGACAUAAGAAUAAUAAGGGACAAGAACUGUCUUUAACAUCUAAUAACACAGACUCAAAUGCUCUGGACCAGCAUGUAACCAAACUUGUGGAACCAGCUAUUGCUUCUUCCCCAAAUGUGAGAAGAUUUCCUGUCAGAAACUGUAAACCACCUAACAGACUUGAUCUGUAAGGUAUUCAGUGUUAUGUACACAGUGGAAUAUGUAGAAGUGUUACAUUCCUUUGAAAUGAGGAUUUGAUUGACAUGUGAAUAAGUGUGAUAUAGCUUGAGGGUGUUACUAAGGGUUGUUAUCUAACUGUUAUUCCCUAAGCUAAAUUGAUGAUAUAAUGUUAAAAAAAAAAAAC
ensembl:lncRNA